rnacentral:rRNA from 1 species
AGAGUUUGAUCCUGGCUCAGGAUGAACGCUGGCGGCGUGCCUAAUACAUGCAAGUCGAGCGGAAAGGCUCUCACAAAGGUUCGAACACAAUUGGCAAUUACCAACGAGCGAUGCACCAUACAUUAGCAAUUAACCAGUAGCGAUUAAGUCGCGCCAUUGUUAAUGGCUAAUCGUUUAUGUAUCGCAAAUGGUAAAUAGUUAAUUGAUACUGUUGGGGUUUUUGUGAGAGUACUCGAGCGGCGGACGGCUGAGUAACGCGUAGGAACGUACCCCAAACUGAGGGAUAAGCACCAGAAAUGGUGUCUAAUACCGCAUGUGCUCCACGGAGUAAAGCUUCGGCGGUUUGGGAACGGCCUGCGUAUGAUUAGCUUGUUGGUGAGGUAAUGGCUCACCAAGGCUUCGAUCAUUAGCUGGUCUGAGAGGAUGAUCAGCCAGACUGGGACUGAGAACGGCCCAGACUCCUACGGGAGGCAGCAGUAGGGAAUUUUCCACAAUGGGCGAAAGCCUGAUGGAGCAACGCCGCGUGCAGGAUGAAUGCCUUCAGGUUGUAAACUGCUUUUAUAUGUGACGAUUAUGACGGUAGCAUAUGAAUAAGGAUCGGCUAACUCCGUGCCAGCAGCCGCGGUCAUACGGAGGAUCCAAGCGUUAUCCGGAAUUACUGGGCGUAAAGAGUUGCGUAGGUGGCAUAGUAAGUUAGUAGUGAAAGCGUCCCGCUCAACGGGAUAUACAUUACUAAAACUGCUAAGCUAGAGGAUGAGAGAGGUUAUUGGAAUUCCUGAUGUAGGGGUAAAAUCCGUUGAUAUUAGGAGGAACACCGAUGGCGUAGGCAGAUAACUGGCUCAUUCCUGACACUCAGGCACGAAAGCGUGGGGAGCAAACAGGAUUAGAUACCCCGGUAGUCC